rnacentral:rRNA from 1 species
AUUGAACGCUGGCGGCAGGCCUAACACAUGCAAGUCGAGCGGAUGAAGGGAGCUUGCUCCUGGAUUCAGCGGCGGACGGGUGAGUAAUGCCUAGGAAUCUGCCUGGUAGUGGGGGAUAACGUCCGGAAACGGGCGCUAAUACCGCAUACGUCCUGAGGGUGAAAGUGUGGGAUCUUCGGACCUCACGCUAUAAGAUGAGCCUAGGUCGGAUUAGCUAGUUGGUGGGGUAAAGGCCUACCAAGGCGACGAUCCGUAACUGGUCUGAGAGGAUGAUCAGUCACACUGGAACUGAGACACGGUCCAGAAUCCUACGGGAGGCAGCAGUGGGGAAUAUUGGACAAUGGGCGAAAGCCUGAUCCAGCCAUGCCGCGUGUGUGAAGAAGGUCUUCGGAUUGUAAAGCACUUUAAGUUGGGAGGAAGGGCAGUAAGUUAAUACCUUGCUGUUUUGACGUUACCAACAGAAUAAGCACCGGCUAACUUCGUG